rnacentral:misc_RNA from 1 species
GAUGAAGAACGUAGUGAAAUGCGAUAAGUAAUGUGAAUUGCAGAAUCUCGUGAAUCAUCGAAUCUUUGAACGCACAUUGCGCCCUAUGGAAUUCUGUAGGGCAUGCCUGUCUGAGCGUCAGCAGCAAAAAAAUCAAAUCUUUGUAGGUAAAGAUUUGGAUUUGGUUAAGAGAUGUAAUCUGUAAAGAACCGGUUACUCUUUUGAAAUUUAAAGGCAGUAUUGAUCAAUCCAACUGUAAACGUGAUAAAACAUUUCGUUUUAUUGUUAGGAAUGAGCUUUUUGCUUGCCUAUAAACCCACUCAUCUUCAUGGGUGACCUCAGAUCAGGUAGGGAUACCCGCUGAACUUAAGCAUAUCAAUAAGCGGAGGA